UACAGAGGGGGCAAGCGUUAUUCGGAAUUAUUGGGCGUAAAGGGCGCGUAGGCGGCUUUGCAAGUGACGGGUGAAAUCCCUCGGCUUAACCGAGGAACUGCCUGUCAAACUGCAUGGCUUGAGACCGGGGAGAGGUGAGUGGAAUUCCCAGUGUAGCGGUGAAAUGCGUAGAUAUUGGGAGGAACACCAAUGGCGAAGGCAGCUCUCUGGGACGGUACUGACGCUGAGACGCGAAAGCGUGGGGAGCGAACAGG
rnacentral:rRNA from 1 species